UGGCUCAGAGCGAACGCUGGCGGCGUACUUAACACAUGCAAGUCGAACGAGGAUCAUCGGGUUAGCAAUAAUUCGGUGGUCCUAGUGGCGCACGGGUGAGUAACACGUGGGUGACCUGCCCUAGAGCUCGGGAUACCCCCUCGAAAGGGGGGCUAAUACCGGAUACGUUCCCCGGUCGAAAGACUGGGGAGGAAAGGUGGCGCAAGCUGCCGCUCUUGGAGGGGCUCGCGGCCUAUCAGCUAGUUGGCGGGGUAACGGCCCACCAAGGCUAUGACGGGUAGCUGGUCUGAGAGGACGACCAGCCACACGGGGACUGAGACACGGCCCCGACUCCUACGGGAGGCAGCAGUGGGGAAUUUUCCGCAAUGGGCGAAAGCCUGACGGAGUGACGCCGCGUGUGGGACGAAGGCCUUCGGGUCGUAAACCACUGUCAGUGGGAAAGAUGGGCGUCGGGGUUAAUACCUCCGGCGUCUGACGGUACCUGCAGAGGAAGCCCCGGCCAACUCUGUGCCAGCAGCCGCGGUAAGACAGAGGGGGCAAGCGUUGCUCGGAAUUACUGGGCGUAAAGGGCGCGUAGGCGGGAUGGCAAGUCGGUCGUGAAAUCCCUCGGCUCAACCGAGGAACGUCGAUCGAUACUGCUGUUCUUGAGGAUUGCAGAGGAGACUGGAAUUCCCGGUGUAGCGGUGAAAUGUGUAGAGAUCGGGAGGAACACCGGUGGCGAAGGCGGGUCUCUGGGCAAUUCCUGACGCUGAGGCGCGAAAGCGUGGGGAGCAAACGGGAUUAGAUACCCCGGUAGUCCACGCUGUAAACGAUGACGACUAGGUGUGGGGGGGUUCAGUCCCUUCCGUGCCGCAGCUAACGCAUUAAGUCGUCCGCCUGGGGAGUACGGCCGCAAGUUGAA
rnacentral:rRNA from 1 species